AACGAACGCUGGCGGCAGGCCUAACACAUGCAAGUCGAGCGCCCCGCAAGGGGAGCGGCGGACGGGUGAGUAACGCGUGGGAACGUGCCUCUUGCUACGGAAUAGCCUCGGGAAACUGAGAGUAAUACCGUAUGUGCCCUUCGGGGGAAAGAUUUAUCGGCAAGAGAUCGGCCCGCGUUGGAUUAGGUAGUUGGUGGGGUAAUGGCCUACCAAGCCGACAAUCCAUAGCUGGUUUGAGAGGAUGAUCAGCCACACUGGGACUGAGACACGGCCCAGACUCCUACGGGAGGCAGCAGUGGGGAAUCUUAGACAAUGGGCGCAAGCCUGAUCUAGCCAUGCCGCGUGAUCGAUGAAGGCCUUAGGGUUGUAAAGAUCUUUCAGUGGGGAAGAUAAUGACUGUACCCGCAGAAGAAGCCCCGGCUAACUCCGUGCCAGCCGCCGCCGUAA
rnacentral:rRNA from 1 species